rnacentral:rRNA from 1 species
UUGAACGCUGGCGGCAUGCUUUACACAUGCAAGUCGAACGGCAGCGGGGGCUUCGGCCUGCCGGCGAGUGGCGAACGGGUGAGUAAUGCAUCGGAACGUACCCAGUCGUGGGGGAUAACUACGCGAAAGCGUAGCUAAUACCGCAUACGUCCUGAGGGAGAAAGCGGGGGAUCUUCGGACCUCGCGCGAUUGGAGCGGCCGAUGUCGGAUUAGCUAGUAGGUGAGGUAAAGGCUCACCUAGGCGACGAUCCGUAGCGGGUCUGAGAGGAUGAUCCGCCACACUGGGACUGCGACACGGCCCAGACUCCUACGGGAGGCAGCAGUGGGGAAUUUUGGACAAUGGGCGCAAGCCUGAUCCAGCCAUGCCGCGUGAGUGAAGAAGGCCUUCGGGUUGUAAAGCUCUUUCGGCGGGGAAGAAAUCGCACUGGUUAAUACCUGGUGUGGAUGACGGUACCCGAAUAAGAAGCACCGGCUAACUACGU